UACGAAGGGGGCUAGCGUUGCUCGGAAUCACUGGGCGUAAAGGGUGCGUAGGCGGGUCUUUAAGUCAGGGGCGAAAUCCUGGAGCUCAACUCCAGAACUGCCUUUGAUACUGAAGAUCUUGAGUUCGGGAGAGGUGAGUGGAACUGCGAGUGUAGAGGUGAAAUUCGUAGAUAUUCGCAAGAACACCAGUGGCGAAGGCGGCUCACUGGCCCGAUACUGACGCUGAGGCACGAAAGCGUGGGGAGCGAACAGG
rnacentral:rRNA from 1 species